GACGAACGCUGGCGGCGUGCCUAAUACAUGCAAGUAGAACGCUGAAGGAGGAGCUUGCUUCUCUGGAUGAGUUGCGAACGGGUGAGUAACGCGUAGGUAACCUGCCUGGUAGCGGGGGAUAACUAUUGGAAACGAUAGCUAAUACCGCAUAAUAGUAGAUGUUGCAUGACAUUUGCUUAAAAGGUGCAAUUGCAUCACUACCAGAUGGACCUGCGUUGUAUUAGCUAGUUGGUGGGGUAACGGCUCACCAAGGCGACGAUACAUAGCCGACCUGAGAGGGGGAUCGGCCACACUGGGACUGAGACACGGCCCAGACUCCUACGGGAGGCAGCAGUAGGGAAUCUUCGGCAAUGGACGGAAGUCUGACCGAGCAACGCCGCGUGAGUGAAGAAGGUUGUCGGAUCGUAAAGCUCUGUUGUAAGAGAAGAACGAGUGUGAGAGUGGAAAGUUCACACUGUGACGGUAGCUUACCAGAAAGGGACGGCUAACUACGUG
rnacentral:rRNA from 1 species